rnacentral:lncRNA from 1 species
UUCAUAGCCAAACAAUUCUCUAAUUCUUUACUGUUGGCUUCUUUCUCUUUAGAUUGUGGAGUUGGACAUCUCCGUGGAGGUCACAAGAUCAAACCUCUCAGUUUAUGGAAAAGCAAUUGAUAGAAAAGCCUAGAGUGUCAAGUUAAUUGGACACACUGACAACAUUCAAACUUUCAACGUGAUAGACUGGAAGCCAGGCUAGAGAAAAACUUCUGGGUGUAAGAAAAUGUUACCAACCUAGAAGGAUAGCAGAAGACUUUCCCAGAGAACAAUACAAGAAAGCAAAAAGACAGCACAUCUUCAAGCCAGAACUCACAGGACAGCCACAGGUUGAGAUGAACCACAUUUGAGCUCUCAAUCUAAACAAACAGCUCAAAGACACAUGUAAUUUAGAUCAAAUGUCUAUGGAAACAAGA